rnacentral:rRNA from 1 species
AUUGCAAAAUGGGCGAAAGCCCGAUGCAGCAACGCUGCGUGGGCGAUGAAGGCCUUCGGGUCGUAAAGCCCUUUUUGAGGGGAUGAGGACGGACAGUAACCUCAGAAUAAGCUUCGGCUAACUACGUGCCAGCAGCCGCGGUAAAACGUAGGAGGCGAGCGCUAUCCGGAUUUCAUGGGCGUAAAGCGCGUGCAGGCGGAUUGGAGAGUUGGAUGUGAAAGCUCCAGGCUUAACUGGGAGAGGUCGUACAAUACUUCCAGGCUUGAGUGCAGUAGAGGGUAGUGGAAUUCCCGGUGUAGUGGUGAAAUGCGUAGAUAUCCGGAGGAACACCAGUGGCGAAAGCGGCUUCCUGGACUGUAACUGACGCUCAGACGCGAAAGCUAGGGUAGCAAACG